ACGCUAGCUACAGGCUUAACACAUACAAGUCGAGGGGAAACGGCAUUAAGUGCUUGCACUUUUUGGACGUCGACCGGCGCACGGGUGAGUAACGCGUAUCCAACCUUCCCAUGACUAAGGGAUAACCUGCCGAAAGGCAGACUAAUACCUUAUGGUCUUCACUGACGGCAUCAGAUGUGAAGUAAAGAUUUAUCGGUUAUGGAUGGGGAUGCGUCUGAUUAGUUAGUUGGCGGGGUAACGGCCCACCAAGGCAACGAUCAGUAGGGGUUCUGAGAGGAAGGUCCCCCACAUUGGAACUGAGACACGGUCCAAGCUCCUACGGGAGGCAGCAGUGAGGAAUAUUGGUCAAUGGGCGAGAGCCUGAACCAGCCAAGUAGCGUGCAGGACGACGGCCCUAUGGGUUGUAAACUGCUUUUGUAUGGGGAUAGAGUCAAUCACGUGUGAUUGUUUGCAGGUACCAUACGAAUAAGGACCGGCUAAUUCCGUGCCAGCAGCCGCGGUAAUACGGAAGGUCCGGGCGUUAUCCGGAUUUAUUGGGUUUAAAGGGAGCGUAGGCUGGAGAUUAAGUGUGUUGUGAAAUGUAGACGCUCAACGUCUGACUUGCAGCGCAUACUGGUUUCCUUGAGUACGCACAACGUUGGCGGAAUUCGUCGUGUAGCGGUGAAAUGCUUAGAUAUGACGAAGAACUCCGAUUGCGAAGGCAGCUGACGGGAGCGCAACUGACGCUGAAGCUCGAAGGUGCGGGUAUCGAACAGGAUUAGAUACCCUGGUAGUCCGCACAGUAAACGAUGGAUGCCCGCUGUUGGUACCUGGUAUCAGCGGCUAAGCGAAAGCAUUAAGCAUCCCACCUGGGGAGUACGCCGGCAACGGUGAAACUCAAAGGAAUUGACGGGGGCCCGCACAAGCGGAGGAACAUGUGG
rnacentral:rRNA from 1 species